rnacentral:rRNA from 1 species
CUCCAUGAACGGGCGCAACCCUUGUUCCUAGUUAGAUUAGGAAUGAAAACAGUGAAAACUGCUUUUGAGGAUGAGGAGUAUGUCAAGUCAAUAUGACCUUUAUAGAUUGGGCUACACACGUACUACAACGGUAGCUACAAUGAGAAACAAUGCCGUGAGGCGGAGUAAAUCUCUAAAACCUACCCUAGUUCGGAUUAUUUUUUGAAAUAAAAAUAUGAAGCCGGAAUCGCUAGUAAUCGCAAAAAAGAAUGUUGCGGUGAAUAUUAAGACCGAUCUUAGUACACACCGCCCGUCACGCCAUGGAAGCUUGUUUGGUUUGAAGAUAUUAAGUCACAUGUUUCGAAGUGAUUAUUCCUUAAUAAGUUC